AGUGAACGCUGGCGGCGUGCUUAACACAUGCAAGUCGAACGGGAUCCAUCAGGCUUUGCUUGGUGGUGAGAGUGGCGAACGGGUGAGUAAUGCGUGACCGACCUGCCCCAUACACCGGAAUAGCUCCUGGAAACGGGUGGUAAUGCCGGAUGCUCCAGUUGAUCGCAUGGUCUUCUGGGAAAGCUUUCGCGGUAUGGGAUGGGGUCGCGUCCUAUCAGCUUGACGGCGGGGUAACGGCCCACCGUGGCUUCGACGGGUAGCCGGCCUGAGAGGGCGACCGGCCACAUUGGGACUGAGAUACGGCCCAGACUCCUACGGGAGGCAGCAGUGGGGAAUAUUGCACAAUGGGCGCAAGCCUGAUGCAGCGACGCCGCGUGAGGGAUGGAGGCCUUCGGGUUGUAAACCUCUUUUAUCGGGGAGCAAGCGAGAGUGAGUUUACCCGUUGAAUAAGCACCGGCUAACUACGUGCCAGCCGCCGCAGUAA
rnacentral:rRNA from 1 species